CGAGUCGCAUUCGCGAAUCGAAACACUCUUGAGUUUCAGACAGCAGAUUGCAAUGCGGCAAUCUUUACGAAAAAUGGUGGACUUGCGGCAAUGAUCGACCACUCGAUCGAGAGUCGAGAAGAAGAAAGAACAGACUGUCUAUCGCGUGACGACGAGAUCGCCCUUUCGAGAUUACGUCCACGGCAUACUGCACGAGCACCCCGCGUUUUCAGGUGACCUUCGACACGCGAAACGUCUAGCUCUGCGGCUUGUGGCCUGAAAUUCAAAGUGAUUUAACCAAUGCUUAACGCUCAGGCUACAAAGCACGUGCUAGGCUACCACAUGGGUACCACCACUACUUCAAAAUUCAUUUGUGUCCAAGUCAAGCUUCGAUCAAAUUAACCGAGUGACGAUGACACCGAGGCUGAACGAUCCCAUCUGAGCUCUGUUAUGGAAAGUUACGAUAAUGUCGAACGCUCCGACAUUAUAACUCGAAAUCUGGAUACGAUUUUUACACGUUGCGCUACGACGAUGUUCAACAACAAAUUUAGAAUCGCGCAAAUGCGACUGCAGCAAAAUUGACUGCAGGGCUGCCUGUUGUUUUACGUGCGAAUCUAAUCCAUUGCUGCACCCAUGUAUUGCUACUCGUCAUCGUGAGACUUGUUAUCCAUUCUUACAUAACCAAAAGAGCUAUAGUCAUCAUUUUGAUCCUUGAUUAGCGAAUAAGCGACGUAUGUACUACCUAUUAUUAUAUUGUCGAGAGCAGAAAGAAAACAUCUUACUUUCUACGUGCGGGUGUAAACCUUGCAUGUGAUUACGUCCUCUCGGUUCUAAGUCCUGCUUCGAAUACUCGAGCCGAUCGAAUCGUAUAACUGGUAUAGAGAAAAACGGAAAGCAGAAUCGCAGAUCCCAAUCGGUGAGGUGCUUUGGAAAAAAAUGUCAAAAGAUAGUUCCAGAUGGAUAGAUACACAAGGACGGAAGACGAGGCGAAGACCUUCGUACAAUAGUGAUUCCAUUGUUCAUGUACACUGACGUUGGCGAAGAAAUCUUUAAUGCUGCUCAAAUAACCCAUUUAUAUAAGUGGGACACACUGUGAAUGUACGAUGACCUCGUCUUUGCACCUGAUACUUUUUUAUCAGUGGAUUAACAGUGAUAUAAAGAAUUUAAAUCGAAAAGUAGAAUAAGAAAUAAAGAUAAAUAAGAAGCAAGUAUGGAUGAAAUCAAGAAAACGAUAGAAGAAUACAAAAGGGAAAAGCAAAUGAGGAAAGUGAUACUGAAGGAAACUGCAAUGCACAAGCAUAUCGGGAUAUACUAUUAUUUUUUCAACCAUUAUCAAGUAAAGCUCUACUUUUUAAGAUUCUCUCUCUCUCUCUCUCCUCCUUUCUCAUAGUACUUGACACGCGUGUUAAGUGUGCGACGGAAACUCGCUAGUCUUCUCUAGAAUGUAUGGCACGAGCUUGUCCUCGCGGCUUUCAGGAUGGGGACUGAUCGAUCCUAGCUAGCGUUGAAUACAACUUCGUAUCUCUUUCGGCAUUGUUAAUGAGUUAUCCCUCGUCUGAUUGUUGAAAUGAUUGAUUGAGAUGGCUGAUAUUCGGAAAGAAACAAGCACUUGCGCAAAAAAAUGCUCUUUUCUUUAAACUUCCUUACGUGUAAACUAUAAUGUAUGUAUAAACUUGCAAAUCAGUUUUCAAUGCUUGAAUCAAAUUUAAAUCAGGAUUCGAAAUUAAUUUAAUUAAGAUACACUUACUGUUAGGCAAAGAAUGUAUAUAUAAAAUCCAACGAUAAAAAUAGAAAGAAUUCGUAAAUUCAAAGAGAUUAAUAAUCACUACGAACGAGGGCAUCGAUAAGAUACUAUUAAAGACCGACAAUCUUAUAUAAGAAGAGUUAGCGUGGCUGUUAAAAUUUAAGUAAUUAGCCAACAAAUAUACCUAAUAUGAAUUUUAUGAUUUAUCAUUAAGCCAAUGUUUUUAGACAUGUACAUAUAUUUACAACUUGCUGACAAACUUGCUCACAAAAAUUUGCCCAGAAUAUUGACGGACUUUAAUAGUAUCUCAUCAGUGACGACGGCAAACGCUCAAGAUAACUCACAAGAAGAAUCAAGACGAAGCAUCGAAAACCGUUGGCACGAAUCCACGCGUAUUUAUUGCAAGGACUUCCAGCUAUGUGACAAACGAAUCGCAGACGCGUUUCACAGUCGGCGAUUCUGGAGGACAUUUUAUGGCUCCCGCGAGAGUCUCCGUCGCGGAGAGCAAUAAAAGCGACGUUAUUGACAUGAUACAGCCAUUAUCGCGCACAUGUUGACAAAUAUACAAUUGCAUAAAAUCCAUAACAAAAUACACAAAAAUUUGAAGAUACCUAUAAAAAAAGAGGACAUAUAAGAUAUAAAAAAAUAUUUUUUAAAAAUAUUAAAUUAAAUCGCAACUUUAGACAUAGAUAACAAAUACUUUUUUUUACGAUGAUUGUUCACAAGAUCACAAUUGAGAUUUACUAAUGAUUCAAUCAACUAAAUGACACAACUUUCUGUAAAUGAAUAAAAAAUUCAAUAAAUAACAGGAUUGGAUUAUUUAAGAUGAUUGAAAAAAGUAAAUAUCUCUUAUCGGUGACUCAUCGUGAUAACUGAAGAUUGUUGAAUCAUAAUAUGUAUCGUAAAACUCAUCGUUCCACGGGGAUCAUACGUUUAUACAUUAAUACGAGAAACGAAGGAAAAGUUAAUUUUAUCGCACAAAAACCAACGCCGUUCUUUCGGUAUUGAGGGAUGCAACGAGUACACACAAGAUGAUGACUCGCAAAGAAAUUGUACCACCAUCUGAUUGUGAAAGUUAAUUCGCGAAAUUUCACAUUACGUUUCUGUGCUUAAAAAUUUGUUCAAAUAACACAAUAUAGGUAUACCUUAGUCAUUAGUGUUAAAGAUCUAUUUCAGAAAUAACGUAACGUUCGUAAAUUAACGUAUAAUUAUACAUAAUUCCUACGCGAUUAAUGUUAACGAUAUGAUUAAUAAGUUGCAUGUUCAGAGGUAUAACAUUGUGGAGGCACUUUCAGCAUUUUCUCUGAUUUUCCUGUCUUUUUAAGUGAUCACACUCACGUGCUUCUUGUAACGUAAAAAUUACAUAUAGUUGCUUAUAUAUAUCAACAUUAGCAAAUCGUUAAUAAUGUAACAUUUUAAUUUCCUCCCAUCGCAAAAAAAUCACAUAAUAUAAUAUACACGAAGUUAUGAUUAUUCAUAAUAGAUGUGACUCACUUUUUCAUUGGGUCUACGAAAUACGAUAGCCUUAUCGCAUUUGUGCUAGUAAAUUACGUGCGCGUACUCUUUCAUGUCGGUAAUUAUACUGGUAUAAUCAUACAAAAGCAAUCAUACACUCACGAUGAAUCGUUUCAAUAAGACCUAAUAAACUAGACGAUACUUGGUUGCAUGUGUUAUGAUACAUAGCAGAUGAUAUGCAGCGUGAUAGAAUCGAUAAAAUGUAUACGAAUCAAGGAAUUAUGUAUAAACAAUUAUAACAUGAAAAAUCGGUAUAUACGAGUAAAUCUAUUACAAUUAAAUGAAUCAUUUGCCAAAUGUAGCUAUUUCAUAGAAAACUAAAUAUAAUCCACAAUAAAAAUCAACUUAUUUAGAA